rnacentral:lncRNA from 1 species
ACCCGUUUUAGCAUGAUUCACGCAUCAUGAAUGCCAUGAGAUAUUUUAGGUUGUUUGCAUUAGAAAUCACGAAUAUGUUGCAUUGCAUAAUAUGUUGAUGAUGUGGAUGAAUGUUGAAUGAUCCUUUAGUCCUCGUAUGUUAUGAUAUGAUGAUGAUAUGGUACGAAAGACCAGUGAGGCCCAUUCUACGCCCCUGGCACUAUGUAAGAGAAAGACCAGUGAGGCCCAUUCUACGCCCCUGGCAUUAUGGAAUGUUAUGUCAUGCUAUGUUAUGAUUAUGUAAGAGAAAGACCAGUGAGGCCCAUUCUACGCCCCUGGCACAGUUGGAACAUG